rnacentral:rRNA from 1 species
GAUCUGGCUCAGGAUGAACGCUAGCGGCAGGCUUAACACAUGCAAGUCGAGGGGCAGCGCGGAGUAGCAAUACUCUGGCGGCGACCGGCGGAAGGGUGCGUAACACGUGAGCGACUUGCCCGUCACAGGGAGAUAACCGCUGGAAACGGCGACUAAUAUCCCAUAUGAUGGCGAUCUGCAUGGAUUGUCAUUGAAAGAUUCAUCGGUGACGGAUAGGCUCGG